CCCAGUUAGUCACAACAUUGACCAAGAACUUAAUGGAUAUAGAACUUCUGUCAACAUCCAAGGCUAGACAAUGAAUUGCCAUUCUUCUACAACUCACUUCAUCUUCAUCUGCUUUAUUGUGCAAUCCGCUCUCAUGAGAUCUGCAGACACUAUAAACUGUUCCCAGCCGACCGCCGAAUCUCUCCUACAAGCACUCAGAGAGAGUGUCUUCAACAAAACCGAAGUGCGGCCGGUUAUUAAUCCAAG